rnacentral:rRNA from 1 species
AUGGAUUUGGGCUCGAGCUUCGCUGCCGUUCAUGGCCGGAGUCCCCUGAGGAGGCAAGGCCCUGGUGGUAGUGGACCGGUGUUGCAACGGUACUACAACCCUGAUGUGGUCUUCCAAGAUGCAGCACGGCAUGGCCGGGAUGAAAUUGAUCUGAAUAUUGCUGUUGAGCCAUCAAUUUUCCUUGACGAUGAUAUGCAAAAUGUUGCGCAUGAAGAAGAAGAAGAUGGCAUUGAUCUGAAUGAUACUCCGUGA